rnacentral:rRNA from 1 species
GGCGUAGGGCGCGAGCGUUGUCCGGAUUUAUUGGGCGUAAAGAGCUCGUAGGCGGCUUGUCGCGUCGACUGUGAAAACCCGCGGCUUAACUGCGGGACUGCAGUCGAUACGGGCAGGCUAGAGUUCGGUAGGGGAGACUGGAAUUCCUGGUGUAGCGGUGAAAUGCGCAGAUAUCAGGAGGAACACCGGUGGCGAAGGCGGGUCUCUGGGCCGACACUGACGCUGAGGAGCGAAAGCGUGGGGAGCGAACAGG